ACGUGGGCAACCUGCCUGUAAGACUGGGAUAACCCCGGGAAACCGGGGCUAAUACCGGAUAAUACUUUUCAUCACCUGAUGAGAAGUUGAAAGGUGGCUUUUAGCUACCACUUACAGAUGGGCCCGCGGCGCAUUAGCUAGUUGGUGAGGUAACGGCUCACCAAGGCAACGAUGCGUAGCCGACCUGAGAGGGUGAUCGGCCACACUGGGACUGAGACACGGCCCAGACUCCUACGGGAGGCAGCAGUAGGGAAUCUUCCGCAAUGGACGAAAGUCUGACGGAGCAACGCCGCGUGAGUGAUGAAGGUUUUCGGAUCGUAAAGCUCUGUUGUUAGGGAAGAACAAGUGCCGUUCGAAUAGGGCGGCACCUUGACGGUACCUAACCAGAAAGCCCCGGCUAACUACGUGCCAGCAGCCGCGGUAAUACGUAGGGGGCAAGCGUUGUCCGGAAUUAUUGGGCGUAAAGCGCGCGCAGGCGGUCCUUUAAGUCUGAUGUGAAAGCCCACGGCUCAACCGUGGAGGGUCAUUGGAAACUGGAGGACUUGAGUACAGAAGAGGAGAGUGGAAUUCCACGUGUAGCGGUGAAAUGCGUAGAGAUGUGGAGGAACACCAGUGGCGAAGGCGACUCUCUGGUCUGUAACUGACGCUGAGGCGCGAAAGCGUGGGGAGCGAACAGGAUUAGAUACCCUGGUAGUCCACGCCGUAAACGAUGAGUGCUAGGUGUUAGGGGGUUUCCGCCCCUUAGUGCUGAAGUUAACGCAUUAAGCACUCCGCCUGGGGAGUACGGCCGCAAGGCUGAAACUCAAAAGAAUUGACGGGGGCCCGCACAAGCGGUGGAGCAUGUGGUUUAAUUCGACGCAACGCGAAGAACCUUACCAGGUCUUGACAUCCUCUGCAAUCGGUAGAGAUACCGAGUUCUUCGGGGACAGAGUGACAGGUGGUGCAUGGUUGUCGUCAGCUCGUGUCGUGAGAUGUUGGGUUAAGUCCCGCAACGAGCGCAACCCUUGAUCUUAGUUGCCAGCAUUUAGUUGGGCACUCUAAGGUGACUGCCGGUGACAAACCGGAGGAAGGUGGGGAUGACGUCAAAUCAUCAUGCCCCUUAUGACCUGGGCUACACACGUGCUACAAUGGAUGGAACAAAGGGAAGCAAAACCGCGAGGUCAAGCAAAUCCCAUAAAACCAUUCUCAGUUCGGAUUGCAGGCUGCAACUCGCCUGCAUGAAGCCGGAAUCGCUAGUAAUCGCGGAUCAGCAUGCCGCGGUGAAUACGUUCCCGGGCCUUGUACACACCGCCCGUCACACCACGAGAGUUGGUAACACCCGAAGUCGGUGAGGUAACCUUUUGGAGCCAGCCGCCGAAGGUGGGACCAAUGAUUGGGGUGAAGUCGUAACAAGGUAGCCGUAUCGGAAGGUGCGGCUG
rnacentral:rRNA from 1 species